rnacentral:rRNA from 1 species
UACGGGGGGAGCAAGCGUUGUUCGGAUUUACUGGGCGUAAAGGGCGCGUAGGCGGCCACCGCAAGUCGACUGUGAAAUCUCCGGGCUUAACUCGGAACGGCCAAGUGAAACUGUCAAGCUAGAGUGCAGAAGGGGCAAUCGGAAUUCUUGGUGUAGCGGUGAAAUGCGUUGAUAUCAAGAGGAACACCUGAGGUGAAGACGGGUUGCUGGGCUGACACUGACGCUGAGGCGCGAAAGCCAGGGGAGCAAACGGG